UCAGAGGUCGUCUUGUACGCCGGAAUAUACGGUAAAUGCUUUUCCUGUCAAUAACCCUUAAACUAUAAUCAAUCUAUAUACUGCAUACAAUUGACGUGACCAAGACGCUAAUAUAAUCAGUAUCAGAUAGGUAGCCGUGUUAGUCUGAAUCUGCAAAAGCGGCAAGGAGUCCUGUGGCACCUUAUAGACUAACUGAAGUGUUGGAGCAUAAACUUUUGUGGGCAAAGAUCCACUUUGUCAGAUGCAUGUCAAUAUAAUCAGUGUGACUGUGUUUUAAAGGAGGCUGUGGAGCAAUGUAUGAAAUUCAUAUAGAAUCUGAAGAGUUUAAAGAAAAGAGAACUGUCCAGCAACAUCAGAUGGUUAAUCAGGCACUAAGUGAAGAAAUUAAAGCAAUGCAUGGACUACGGAUAUUCACAUCUGUUCCAAAGAACUGAAGAAGUUCCAGCCCUAUGAUUCAAGGAGGAACCAGGCUACAUUGCUAGAAACCUUUGUGGAAGAUAAGACAUAUGGACCUUAAAUAAUCAGUAUUUAAUGUUGUUAAAAUAAGUACAGUAUUUAAAGCGAGCCUAUUUCAUGUGUAUUUAACUUGAUUUAUUCUUGCAUAAAGUACCUGAUGCCAAAUCUUAGAUUUUUUGAUAAAGUAAGCAAUUAAGUCAAAUAUGAAAGUGGAAUUCCGGAGCUUGUGGAACAUGUUGCAGAGGGAAGUACUGGCUUCCAUAGUGUGUCAGCACUAACAUCUAGUGGGAAAGGCCCACAGCAGUGGUGAUUCUACAGGGAGCUCAUGAGCCAAAAAGCAAUGUAUGUUUUUGCCGCCUACUUGACUGAUGUUCUGUUAUAGCUGGGAGGAGACUGCAGCUUAUGAAGAAAUCACUUGAGGCUGUGUAGAGUGCCCCAUUCACUGUGCCUUCUCUCAGAUGCUUGCAGGAGAAUCCUGAACUGUCUGGCACAGCUACUGUAUAGGAAAUUAAGAUAGUGUCUUAAUAAAUAGAAAGUUUUAAAUUCUA